AUGGCUUCUUCUUCUUCUUCCAGCCCCCGAAGCAGCAGCGUAGCCACGUGCCUCGUGCUGGCUCUCCUGGUCGUCAGCCUCAGAGAAGCCUCCGCCUGGCGCCCGCUCCGGCCGGCCGGCGACGUGUCCAGCGGUAGCGAGCUGAGGGACCAGGCGAUCGUUGACAGGUACCCGCCACUUUUGCCCACCAUGCUGCCGAGGGGCCCGGCACCUCCGUCCGCCCCAAGCGGCGGCACCAACGAGGCCGGGAACUGA
rnacentral:rRNA from 1 species